GGGGAAUAUUGGACAAUGGGGGCAACCCUGAUCCAGCAAUGCCGCGUGUGUGAAGAAGGUCUUCGGAUUGUAAAGCACUUUCGACGGGGACGAUGAUGACGGUACCCGUAGAAGAAGCCCCGGCUAACUUCGUGCCAGCAGCCGCGGUAAUACGAAGGGGGCUAGCGUUGCUCGGAAUGACUGGGCGUAAAGGGCGUGUAGGCGGUUUACACAGUCAGAUGUGAAAUCCCCGGGCUUAACCUGGAGCUGCAUUUGAUACGUGUAGACUAGAGUGUGAGAGAGGGUUGUGGAAUUCCCAGUGUAGAGGUGAAAUUCGUAGA
rnacentral:rRNA from 1 species